GCCCUGCCCAGGAGGCCGUGAUCCCUGGGGUCGUGGCGGCCGUCUUGGCGGCAGUAGCAGGCGCUGUAUCGAGCUUCGUGGCCUAUCAGCGGCGGAAGCUAUGCUUCCGGGAGCGUGACUCCGCUGUGGUCUAGGGAAGGAACCCCUAGAGAACCCCAGGGGCUCCGGCUCCACCCAGCCCUAUGACGUCACCGGGAACUUUUUCCAAUGACGUCACAGCGACCAUCUUGGAGGAUGUCAUGAAGCCGCAACCCAGCUUUCCCUCCUGCGUGGUCAGGAGGGGGUGUGAGGGGCAUUGGUGACGUCACAGGAGGCUCCCGACCCAUGCCUCCCAGCCAUUGCAGUGACAUCCACACAGUGCCAAAGCCCGACUCCGCCUUCUGUUCUGAGGAGAGAAAAAGAGGAGUCCUGGUGCCUUAUGGGAUAUGGGUGGGUGGGCGUGUGGGUGGGACUGGGAACACAGAAGUGAAAUAAACGUGACUUCCAUAAACUGGAACUCGAACUCACGACUUGUCAAUCGAAUACCUAACAACCAGGAAGGGCCAUGGUGGCCCAGACUAGAAGUAGGUGGGGCAGGGCUUCCGGUAUCCCCACCCACCCUCUGUUCUCUCCCAUCUAAUGAUGUUACUUAAGUUGUGAUGACGUCAUCUGAGGCCUCACACCACCAUUGAUGGCUGCCUUCCUUCUCUGACCACUCCCCCUCUCCUCACUUGGUAGGGAUGGUCUUUCUCCAUGCCCAAACAGCCUCCCUGCCCCGCCCUGGCGAUGAACACCAUCCCAGAAUAUUCUCGCCCUGUGGGGUGAUCCCUAUGAUGUCACCCGCCAGACCGGUUGGUCCCACUGAGGCCUCUCCCACCCCGCCCACGGGUACUCAGUUCUUCCUACGGGAGGCCCGGGCCGAAACUGCAGCUGUGGGCGAGGUGGUCUACAGGGGUCCCCAAACUCCCACAGCCCCUGAAGGAAGACCAUGGCGACCCCGCGGCGUCCUGGACAUUUCCUGCUGACGCUGAUGAUGACAACGAUGAUGACUUUGCGGGUUCAAGCAGGAGACGGAGACUUCGACCUCGCCGACGCCCUGGAGGACCCAGGUAGGUCUCCGCCGCCUCAGUGGGUGGGGUUGGGGGGACGUGGGCCAUCAUGGAACUUAUUUUUCUCCCUAUCCUCCAUGCAGAUCCUACGUCAGCAACUUCAGGUGGCGGUGAGUGACGUCCUUGUGAAGAACCCAUCUUGGGUGCCAUCCUGUCCUCCCUCUCUCCCUCCCCCCCCCCCCCCCGUGCCAUUGUUCCAAGUGUUUACGGGUUCCGCACUUCCGGUUCUGAUUUCCGGUGAUGUCCCUCUCCACCCCAUGCAGGCCUCUACCCAAAGCUUCCGCAGGACCGGCCACUGGGAGAUGGAGGAAGUGAGUCUAACCGAACCGGAACUGGUGGGAACAAGAGUUUGGUGGGCGGGGCUGUCUGGGAAACGGAAGUGGGGUUGCCACUCAGCUCCCUGGGCCACUUGCUGGGAUCUGAGCCACUUCUGGUUCCGCCUCACAGAUAUCUACCCGCAACCUCGGCCACGUCCACGUCCACAGCCACGCCCACAGCCACGCCCACACCCCGGGGAUGCAGAUGGCACCUUCGGAGGAAGUGGAGGCCAUGGUGGAGAAAUAGGAGGAGCUGCCCAGGGUGAUACCCAGGGGAACCCCGUGGCUGCCAUCGUGUCACCCGUCGUUUCCGUGGUUGUGCUUGCCCUGCUUGGUGCUGGUGUCAGCUACUUCCGGUCUGGCCGGGGUGGGUGCCUGCGCUCACGUGGGAGAGACACGGAGGCCGGAUUGUGA
ensembl:lncRNA